CCCCUUUUUGCUGCCUUUCCAGGGAGAGCAGCAAGAGAAAGAAAGAGAGAGGCAAGCGAAAUUCCUGAAUGGAUAGACAGAUGCUACGUCAUCCGGAGCUGCGUCCUCCACUCCACAAGAGGCUAGGAGCCGGGAGAAAGAGGCAGUCCAGCGGCAGGGGCCACCAGCGCAGGCUCUCCUCCUCACAGAAGCCGGGAGCUGGUCAUCCAAGAAGAAGCAGCCUCGUUUGUUUCGGGUGUCAUCGUAGGUGUCCACCUUUGGCUUUGGGGGAACAGCCAGGUCUUGCUUACUCCUGCCUUGGGAAGUCCUUCCCAAUGUCUAACCAAGAUCUGUACCGCUGAAGUACCAGUUCUUUGACCCUCGGCUUGACAUGGCUAAUUUGAGAGGCACAGGGAGGAACUGACCUUGAUUUGGCACCCGCUUGCUUGUUCCUGAAAACUGAGUGAUACUGUCGCCACUAUACAAAGACAAUCAGAGCCCCAAGUCACAGGACUGACCAAAAAGAAGAACCUACUUCACCCACUUGUCCUGGGUUCCCUCUGAGACGCUGUCUUGAUUGACUGAAAGAUGAGGCUAAACUCUAGCAAGUUGAGUGGCUCCUCCCAGAAUCCUUUAAGCAGGAUAGAAGUGGGGAGGCCCCAGCCUCCAGCCUGGGCAGCCCUUUAGACUGGAGCCGCCUGGCAAAGACUUUAUUUCAUCAUUGCUCCAGUGUCUGCAAGCUGUCCAUCCUGGCCAGCCCUGGUUUCCCCUGUGUCGUCUGAACUGAGAAUCUUCUGAGAUGGAAGUCCCAUCUCAUGCCUAAUAAA
rnacentral:lncRNA from 1 species